rnacentral:lncRNA from 1 species
CGCGGCGGUACCUGCUCUCGCCGCCCUUCCCGGACCCCGGAUCCCAGCGCUCGGGCCCCCGAAGGCCGACGCGCACCCCACGCCCACCGGACCCCCGCCAUGCGCGGCCUCGGGCUCCUGCUGUUCGCCGCGCUGGGGCUGCAGGGGGUCACCCCCGGGGCCGCCCUGCCCCACGUGGAGCAGUACGAGGUGGUGACGCCCCGGCGCCUGGGUGUACCCCGUGCUCGGCGGGCUCUGCCCUCCCGCCUGGGCCUGUACCCAGAGAGUGUCAGCUACGUCCUGGGGGCCCGAGGGCACACCUUCACCCUGCACCUUCGGAAGAACAGGGACCUGGUGGGCUCCGGCUACGCAGAGACCUACACGGCCACCAACGGCUCCCAGGUGACAGAGAAGCUGCAGAGGCAGGACCACUGCUUCUACCAGGGCCGCGUCGAGGGGCACCCGCGCUCGGCCGCCAGCCUCAGCACCUGCGCCGGCCUCAGGGGCUUCUUCCAGGCGGGCCCCGCCGUCCACCUGAUCGAGCCCCUGGCGGGGGCAGGGGAGGAAGGCCCGCACGCCCUGUACCUGGCGCAGCACCUGCAGCAGGAGGCUGGCACCUGCGGCGUCGAUGACCGCAGCCUGGACAGAGUCCUGGGGCCGCGGGUGUCUGCAGCCCUCAGACCGCGGUGGUCAGAACCCAGAGAGACCCGCUACGUGGAGCUGUUCGUGGUCACGGACAGCACGGAGUUCCAGCGGUUUGGGAGCAGAGAGGCCAUGCGUCAGCGGGUGCUGGAGGUGGUCAACCACGUGGACAAGCUCUAUCAGGAGCUCAAUUUCCGCGUGGUGCUCGUGGGCCUGGAGAUGUGGAAUGGUGGGGACAAGAUUCAGGUCAGCUCCCAGCCCGACGCCACCCUGGACGACUUCCUGGCCUGGCGGACUCGCGAGCUGGUGGGCCGGCAGGCGCACGACAACGUGCAGCUCAUCACCGGAGUCGACUUCACCGGGACCACCGUGGGACUGGCCAAGGUGUCCGCCAUGUGCUCCCAGAACUCAGGGGCUGUAAACCAGGACCACAGCCUGAAUCCCAUCGGCGUGGCGAGCACCAUGGCCCAUGAGAUGGGCCACAACCUGGGCAUGGACCAUGACGAGAACGUCGCCAGCUGCUACUGCCCGGUGCCACGGGAGGGUGGCGGCUGUGUGAUGGCGGCCAGCAUCGGCUCCCAGUACCCCAGGAAGUUCAGUCACUGUAGCCGGGCCGACUUGGAGACGUUCCUGGAGAAGCGACGCACAGCCUGCCUGGUGGACACCCCAGACCUUGACCGGCUGGUGGGCGGCCCUGUGUGCGGAAACGGGUUCCUGGAGCGUGGGGAGCAGUGUGACUGUGGCCGCCCUGAGGACUGUCAGAACCGCUGCUGCAACGCCAGCACCUGCCUGCUGGCCGAGGGGGCCGAGUGUGCCCACGGCGCCUGCUGCCACGAGUGCAGGGUGAAGCCGGCUGGAGAGCUGUGCCGCCCCGCGAAGGACCAGUGUGACCUUGAUGAGCACUGUGAUGGCCGGCGGCCCGCGUGCCCUGAGGAUGCCUUCCGGGAGAACGGCACACCCUGCCCAGGGGGCUACUGCUACAACGGGGCCUGCCCGACACCGGCCCAGCGCUGCCAGGACUUGUGGGGGCCAGGCUCGCGGGUGGCAGUGGAGACUUGCUUCCGCUACAGCAUCUCCGAAGGCUGCGGGGCUGGGGUCCCCUUGCAGUCCGGCAGGGUCAACAAGUGCGGCACUCUCUUCUGCGAGGGGGGACAGGACCCCCCGGAAGGCCGACACUGCAUCCUCACCACCCCCUCAGGCACUUGCCGAGCUGUCGUCCAGGAUGGCAGCACUGCGUAUGAGCCGGUGCCCAAGGGCACCAAGUGUGGCGAGGAGCAGGUUUGCUGGGACGGCUUCUGCCGGGGCCUCCACGUGUACAGAUCCAGGAACUGCUCCGCCCGGUGCAACAGCCACGGGGAGUGCGACCACAAGGACCGGUGCCACUGCUUCCCGGGCUGGGCCCCGCCCCGCUGUGCAGAGCCGCUGUCCGACCUGCAUGCAGCUCCUGGGAGCCUCCGAACACGUGUGCUGGUGGGUGUGGGCGCCCUGGUGCUGCUGGUGCUGAUCCUGGCGGGCGUGCUCAUCUACCGCAGGGCCCGGAGCCCGGUCCGAAGGAGGAAUGUGGCACCCAAGACGGCCAUGGGGCUCUCCAACCCGCUGUUCCAUGAAGGGCUCAGCAAGCCUGCGAAAGGCAGGGCUCAGGCUCCCCCCGGGGCCUCCCCAGAGCCGGCCCCGCCCGCCCAGCCCCCCAAGCCCACAGCUUCCUCGGUGACCCCUAAGCGACCGCCCCCUGCUGUAAGCGCCAGCCAUCCCAACAGACUCCAGGCCACCCCCAAAUCUCAGGUUCACGAGGCUCAGAGUGGCCCCCAUGACUCCCGUUUGGAGGCAAAACCAGGCUCUAGGACAAGGGGUCUGAAGAGCCGCCUGAGCCGGGGGCGCGGAACCGAGCCUGAGGCUCAGAGCCUCCGCACCGGCGGUCCCAGGGUGGUCGGGAGGCGCCCCAGGAGGAGGCGCAGAGGCUGCCAGCACCUCCCUGUGACCCCAGGGCUGGGGGAGGGGCCAGAACCUUGGGUCCUCAGCGGGUGGGGGGCAGCUCUGAGCCAGGCCUCUCUGGUGCGGUUGCCCUGGGAGACCCAGGCUCACGCCCGUUCCCUUCAGCCUCCAGGCUCCCUUCAGCCUCCAGCCGCCACGGCCAGACCACCGUCCCCGCUUCCUGUGUACCCCCAGCAGGCCCCGGGCCAGCUCAGACCUGCUCCUCCCGCCAAGCCCCUUCCGGUGCUGAAGCCAAAGCAGGUCAUCAAGCCGACCUGUGCUCCCCCAUUGCCACCCGUCAAGCCUGGAGCUAGAGGGGCCCAGCCUGGACCCACUCAGGAAGCUGUUGACCCGAAGGUUGCUCUGAAACCCCCUGUCCAGAGGAGGUGAUGGGGCAAAGCACCCUGAGGGGCAUCCGUGCACCUGUCUGGAUGUUGCCUGCGGUCUGUGACCUCACCAGCAGCAGCAGCAGAUGCAGCCGCCUGGCCCCAGGCCCUCCACUCCGUCAGGGCCUGAGGACUGUCUGAGCUGUCCUAAAGGAAGCGCUAGCUCUUCUGUGUCUCAAGGUCACAGCCUAGGGCCUCUGGACCGGGACUCCCUGGCUGGGCCGUCAGCUGCUGUCCUGACCUGGGGAAGGAGGCGGGGGGAGGCCAGCCCCUCCUCAACCACGUGUGUCUUCAGACGGCCACUGGUGUCUUAUCUGGGUUCCUGAAAACGGCGCACGUUCAGCAGGGAUCAAAAAUUUAAUAAAAUGUUUACAUUUUACGAUUAAGUUAUUGAU